GGCGGGGCGAGGUCGGGGAGGGCAGCUGCCCGCCCUCCUCGGCACUGGGAGCUUUCGGCUGGUACUGCGGGAGGAGCUCCCGGGUGACCCGCGGGUUCUGAAACCGCCGCUCGGGAGCUCGGGGCCUGCGCGGCGUCUACGGGGCGAGCGAGGGAGAACUGACGCCUUUCGCUCGGAUCCUUCUCCCCUUCCGAGAACCAGUGGGCUCUGCGCUCGCGUUAACAAUUCGAAUGGGCACGUUUCUGAGUUUAAGAACGCUGUUCGCUUCCUCACACUUAGAUUGAGGUGGAACUCACGUCACAUAAACCGGGUCGCAAGGCUCAGCUCAGCGGGGCCCCCCCACAGUGUUGCGGGACCAGCACCUUCUCGAGCUCCGGAACAGCUUCUACCCGCGCAGAGCCCGGCCCGUCGGCGGCCGCUCUCCGCGCCCCUCCCGGGCCCUGCAGCCCCCGCCCUGCUCCGCGGAGCAGCCUGUUCUGACCUCCGUUCCAUGGAGCCCUACGUGCUGUGGCUUCUGUGUUCCGGCGCCUUUCGCUUAGAAUCGCGUCUUAAAGGUUCGUCCGCGGUGGAGCGGGGAUCAGGCCCGUGUUCCUUUUCAGGAGUGAAUAAUAUUCCCUGGUAUGGAGACUGCGCUGAGAUAGGACCUGGGCCACCCCCUCUGAUUAUUUCCCGCCCACCCCUUCACUGGCGCCAGCCCCACGGAGACCUCGCAGGUGCCGUGAGAAAGUGGAGAUGAGCAGAGUCUGGACGCAUGCGCGGGGCCGGGAGGUGCCGGCCGCAGCCUGCGCCGUCUCCUAAUGCGGAAAUCUGCACCCAGGGCGGAACUCGCCGGUGUCUUCCGCGCGCGCACUGCACGUGUCGGCAUCCUUUCUAGUGCGCCUGCGCAGCCAGCACCGCCUGCACCUGCGCUGACGCUCGCUGACAGCAGUACCCUCCUGGGAAGCCACGCAGGACCCGUCUUCGGGAGCCCGAGAGCCUCCUUCCCGGGCGCCAGUCUUAAUAAACUUUGUAUGUGUGUGAUGGAGCCUCGCUCUUUUGCCCAGGCUCACUGCAAACUCCGCCUCUCGGGUUCAGGCAAUUCUCCCGCCUCAGCCUCCCUAGUAGCCGGGACUACAGGUGCCCGCCACCACAUCCUGCAAAUUUUUUUUUUUUUUUUUUUUGGUAGAGAUGGGGUUUCACCAUGUUGCCCAAGCUGGUCUCGAACUCCUGACCUCAGGUGAUCCGCCCGCGUUGGCCUCCCAAAGUGCUGGGAUUACAGGCAUGAGCACCACGCCGGCCUUAAUAGACGUUAUCUGGGAGAAGUUUGUCGGGCCUCUUGUCGGUUUCUGUUGCUUGGCAAGAAAGCACGAGGCCGGGCGCGGUGG
rnacentral:lncRNA from 10 species